UACCUACGGGACGCAGCAGUGGGGAAUAUUGGGCAAUGGGCGCAAGCCUGACCCAGCAACGCCGCGUGAAGGAAGAAGGCUUUCGGGUUGUAAACUUCUUUUCUCGGGGACGAAGAAAGGGACGGUACCUGAGGAAUAAGCCACGGCUAACUACGUGCCAGCAGCCGCGGUAAUACGUAGGUGGCAAGCGUUAUCCGGAUUUAUUGGGUGUAAAGGGCGUGUAGGCGGGAGCGGACGUCAGCUGUGAAAACUCAGGGCUCAACCCUGAGCCGGCAUUUGAAAC
rnacentral:rRNA from 1 species